rnacentral:rRNA from 1 species
UGAAUACGAGACGCUAAGGCGUUGAAGUAGUGUAUGUCAUACUUCCAAGAAAAGCUUGCACUGUCAUAGAUAAAAAACGCCUGUACCAUAACCGACACAGGUGGGUAGGUAGAGUAUACUAAGGGGCGCGAGAUAACUCUCUCUAAGGAACUCGGCAAAAUAACUCCGUAACUUCGGGAGAAGGAGUGCCUUAUUUAUAAGGCUGCAAUAACAAGAUCCAAGCAACUGUUUAUCAAAAACACAGGUCUCCGCUAAGUCGUAAGACGAUGUAUGGGGGCUGACGCCUGCCCAGUGCCAGAAGGUUAAAGAAGUUGGUUAGCAAUAGCGAAGCUGAUAACUGAAGCCCUGGUGAACGGCGGCCGUAACCAUAACGGUCCUAAGGUAGCGAAAUUCCUUGUCGGGUAAGUUCCGACCCGCACGAAAGGCGUAAUGAUUUGGAAACUGUCUCGGAGAGGGGCUCGGUGAAAUAGACUUGUCUGUGAAGAUGCGGACUACCUGCACCAGGACAGAAAGACCCUAUGAAGCUUUACUGUAACUUGAAAUUGAAAUUGGACUUUAUUCGCGCAGUAUAGGUGGGAGGCGUUGAUUGUAAUCUUGCGGGAUUAUUGGAGCCAUCAGUGAGAUACCACCCUUGUAAUGUUAGAUUUCUAACUUUGAAUCAUUAUCUGGUCAAAGAACAGUUUCAGGCGGGCAGUUUGACUGGGGCGGUCGCCUCCUAAGCGGUACGGAGGCGUACAAAGGUUUCCUCUGAACGGUUAGAAAUCGUAUCUAGAGUGUAAAGGCAUAAGGAAGCUUGACUGUGAGACCUACAAGUCGAGCAGGGACGAAAGUCGGUCUUAGUGAUCUGACGGUACUGAGUGGAAAGGCCGUCACUCAACGGAUAAAAGUUACUCUAGGAUAACAGGCUGAUCUCCCCCAAGAGUUCACAUCGACGGGGAGGUUUGGCACCUCGAUGUCGGCUCAUCGCAUCCUGGGGCGGUAGUACGUCCCAAGGGUUGGGCUGUUCGCCCAUGAAAGCGGUACGCGAGCUGGGUUCAGAACGUCGUGAGACAGUUCGGUCCAUAUCCGGUGUAGGCGUUAGAAUAUUGAGAGGAGCCUUCUUUAGUACGAGAGGACCGAGAAGGACAUACCUCUGGUGUACCAGUUAUCGUGCCAACGGUAAACGCUGGGUAGCUAUGUAUGGAGUGGAUAACCGCUGAAAGCAUCUAAGUGGGAAGCCCACCUCAAGAUAAG